rfam:Salmo salar isolate Sally breed double haploid chromosome ssa03, whole genome shotgun sequence.
UCCCCUGUGGCUCAGUUGGUAGAGCAUGGUGUUUGCAAUGGUGUUUGCAACGCCAGGGUUGUGGGUUCGAUUCCCACGGGGGGCC